CUUUGAAUUAUUAUGCUAAUUGUGCCCAAGAGGUCUCUGAUAGUUUAUGCCAUCACAUGGCCUCUACCACUUUGGGAUUGCAUUAUUCUCUCCCGAGAUCAGGAAACUCAGUUCUACCACAGCAUUUAUCACCAUCAAUCUGACAGAGGACAGCCACUUCAGAGCUCUUAGGGAUGCUGAUACUUCUGUCACCAACGCGGCCUUAAUUACUUGGUGAAAAUGGAGAAUGUCUAAGGAGCCUUUGUAUUCUCUUCUCUACAGUAUGCCAGGGUAUUUCUGGGAUUCUGGAAUUAUUACUUCAAAUUUGUAGGUCAUUUAUUAUUUAUAGACUGUUGUUGAGCCCAUGCUUCAUCCUAGCAAAAUAUUAAUGCCCAUAUAUGAGACGUUGAUUCUCAGGUUCACAAGAGAGGCCUGGAUCCACAAUCUUAAAUUACUAUACUUACCACAGUGAUACAUUCUCACCUUCACUCCCUCCCAUGAUGAUAUCUUGAACGUGUGAGACAAAGCUAUGAAGAGGAUUUUUCGUUACUACAUUGUUUUUAAAAGCAAAAAGCUGAAAAAAAUGUAAAUAUCCAUCACAGAAGUUUGGAAAAUAAAU